rnacentral:lncRNA from 1 species
UUGGACGAUUGCAAUAAAUAUGACGCAUUUUCAGAGUUCAGAAUAAUCGUAUGGUUUGCGUGGUCAUUUCGACAGUCAUCAAGAACUUUAUUGACAAGUCCUGAGGAGUUUAAGCCGCCGGGGCAUCCACGAGGGACACCCUAGCAGCCGCUACCGUAGGCGACGCCCGAGUCGGGGCGGGAACGUGGUGGCGUUCCGCCAGUUCUUGGGCCCUCCGGACUGCCUUGAGUUGGGGGUGGAGCUCGGAGCUACUGAGUGCCUCUUCCCAGUCGGACUAACUGGUGACUGGUCCCCGAGGAUCCAGAGAGUAGCAGAAUUCGCGACGUGUCCUGCGAUGCCCAGGGGUUCAGCUGUUUCGACAAUGCUUCGCAGCGGCUCGGUGACCCAUACCAGCGUACUUGGUGUCUUCUCCAUCUGGUACUUUGGGGUUUUGUCGAUGCACGACCGAGCGUGCUUGUCAGCGAGUUGCGUUCUCACCGCAAUCGAGAUGUUCAACCAUUGCAGUAACGGUGGACCAAGAGCAGCAGAGUUCAAGGACUAUGAAAUGCUGGGUGAAGAGGAGAAGGCUGGAGGUCGGCGAAAGUGAAGUUGAUUCCGUGAGCGGCUCCUGCGGUGUGCGUCUGCUUCGAAGGAGAACUCGCUCAAAUCGGGGAAGAAGCGUCGAUUAAAGGCAGCCGCGACGUGAACGAGUGCUUACGCGAACGAAUGCGUGACCACUCUGUACGCAUUGGAUAUGCCCCUAGACUCUGCGCUAUAUGUAUGCGCUGGACGUCGUAUAUGUACAUAUUUGUCGUGAUUAUUUUGGAUUAUUAUCUACUGCGUUAUUCAAUUUAGCUGGUCUUGUUAUUGUUUGUUUAGUAGCACGACCAUGUUCAUGGAUGGGUUAGCCGGCUAGAACAUUGGCUGACCUGCCAUGUUUUCCGUGUAUAAGAUUACAGAAAAGUUAUUAAAAGGUGCGUGCGGUU